CGACAUAGAUGGCCUUUUGUUAGUAAAGAACGUGAUACCUACCAAAUUGAGAAGAUAGAUGCGGAUAGCCUAGUCCCGAUUCAACCACAUCUCAUCAACAUACUCCUCUGCUGUAAUUGCUUCCUUAAGACCUAGCUUAAUAUCCUUUCUUAACUAGUUGAAACGUGCAUGGGCAUUGUUUGUAGAUUUCACUUGGUAUUUAGCCUCACCCACAUAAAACCCUCACAACUCGACCAUCAAAUCAACCACCUCAUCCAUGGAAAGAGGAACAUCAUGGUUUUAG
rnacentral:lncRNA from 1 species